rnacentral:rRNA from 1 species
ACAAGCGGCGGAGCAUGUGGCUUAAUUCGACGCAACGCGAAGAACCUUACCAAGGCUUGACAUACACCGGAAACAUCCAGAGAUGGGUGCCCCCUUGUGGUCGGUGUACAGGUGGUGCAUGGCUGUCGUCAGCUCGUGUCGUGAGAUGUUGGGUUAAGUCCCGCAACGAGCGCAACCCUUGUCCCGUGUUGCCAGCAGGCCCUUGUGGUGCUGGGGACUCACGGGAGACCGCCGGGGUCAACUCGGAGGAAGGUGGGGACGACGUCAAGUCAUCAUGCCCCUUAUGUCUUGGGCUGCACACGUGCUACAAUGGCCGGUACAAUGAGCUG